rnacentral:rRNA from 1 species
UCCAGACUCCUACGGGAGGCAGCAGUGGGGAAUAUUGGGCAAUGGGCGCAAGCCUGACCCAGCAACGCCGCGUGAAGGAAGAAGGCUUUCGGGUUGUAAACUUCUUUUCUGGGGGACGAAGAAAGUGACGGUACCCCAGGAAUAAGCCACGGCUAACUACGUGCCAGCAGCCGCGGUAAUACGUAGGUGGCAAGCGUUAUCCGGAUUUAUUGGGUGUAAAGGGCGUGUAGGCGGGAAUGCAAGUCAGAUGUGAAAUCCGGGGGCUCAACCCCCGAACUGCAUUUGAAACUGUUGGUCUUGAGUAUCGGAGAGGCAGGCGGAAUUCCUAGUGUAGCGGUGAAAUGCUUAGAUAUCGCGCAGAACCCCGAUUGCGAAGGCAGCGUACCGGCUCCACACUGACGCUGAGGCACGAAAGCGUGGGUAUCGAACAGGAUUAGAUACCCCCGUAGC